AGACCUUAAGAAGAGCUAAACGGGCUGCCACCUGUAGCUGAAGAGUGCCUUAACGCCGAGGCCCACGGCUCCAUGCGAGAGAUGCCUGUUCCUUCUCUGAUAAAUUUGGCAGCUUCACGUACCCUAAGUGAGUGACUUUCAAGAUUCAAAGGUUUUUUAAAAUUAUGUAUAGAUAUAUUCCUUUUAAUCGUCUUCACGUAUUGUAUAGCUUUCUGUAAUGCUCUUUCUUGGAUUAAUAGAAAAAUCCUUUGACACUGUAGACUGCCGAAUACGUUUCCCCGUGUAUUCGUAUGUCUUCAAAAGAUACUGAGGAAAUGAAGUGUUUCUCGAGUUGACAUAUUUUUUGAAGACAGCAGAUAACUAACUAAACUCAUUUUGUCAAAGUAAAAUGAGAUAGAUUCACCUCUAAAGAGUGCUUCCGCGUGGCUCUAUGGCUUAGUUGGUUAAAGCGCCUGUCUCGUAAACAGGAGAUCCUGGGUUCGACUCCCAGUGGGGCCUGAUGUUUUCCAGAGAAAAUCAGCUGUUUCUGAAAAUUGUUUUCUUGACGAAGAACUGCGUCCUCCCACUAAUUGCCAAACAUUCUCACCAAACUUAACAGCAGUAGAACACAACUGGAUAAAUCCCAAGUUGUUUAACUGCAUCCUGCUCAGAUUCCUUACUUUUAAAAAGUAAAUUUUUAGGAGGAAGACAAUGCAAAUGCAAAAAGUGCGAAAGAAUAAUGCAUGUGACCCACCUCAAUCAAUUUCGUAUGUCUUGCUUUAAACUGUGGUAAAAUGUUUUUGAGCACUUACAAUGUGUUACAGUUUAAAGCAUGUAGAUAACUGUUGUAGGCAUGCAGAUAAAUAAAAUCUCUCUAGAUUCUAAAAAUCUCCAGCUCUAUAAUUGAAUUCAUAAGAUAAGAAAUUAAUGAACAACAAACCCAUUAGUAGCUACAAACAAAAAUUAGGACAUUUGCAGGGGCAUGCUUGCCUUUUUUUUUUUUUUUUUUGAGAUGGAAUCUCGCUCUGUCACCCAGGCUCCAGUGCAGUAGCGAUUCUCAUGCCUCAGCCUCCAGAAUUGCUGGGAUUACAGGUGUGCACCACCACGCCCAGCUAAUUUUUGUAUUUUCAUUAGAGACAGGGUUUCACCAUGUUGGCCCGGCUGGUCUCCAAUUCCUGCCUCAAGUGAUCCGCCUGCCUCAGCCUCCCAAAGUGCUGGGAUUACAGGUGUGAGCCACCGCGCUUGGCCUGUUUUUUUACUUUUUAAUGAGAAAUAUUCACAAUGUGGCUACUAUGUUACUCUAAGUAUCAUAAGUAGCAACGUAAAACAUUGGAAAAUUGUCCCUAUGUUUGGACCUCACUGCUGUUCAUUUUGAUUGGGACCUUGUUGAACUAGGUCACAUCGGCUGUAUUCAAACCUCAGCUGCUACAUUUGAUGGCUAAGGGACCUUUAGCAAAUUGCUCUAGCUCCAUGGGCAUCACUUUCUUCACAUGUGGAAUGGAAAUAGUAAUAAGCCUACCUAAUAUAGUUGAUGGGAGAGCUUGUUGAGUAAGUAUACAAAAUAUUUUAGAAGGAUAUUUGGCACCUAAACAAGCAAUAAAGUUCACUAUAUUGUUGCUUUUUAUAAUUUUUCUUAUUUAUUGAACAAUUAGGGACAAGUGUUUAAUCCUUUUACUCUGAAACUGCCUUUGCAAACCUAUGACAGUAGCAUAAAUCUGACAUGGCUGUGGCUGACUCCAUCUUGCUUCUAGCCUCAUGGGCUGGCUGUCUUCUCUCAUUUCUGGGCAUGGACCAAGUUAACUGUGGAGUCCUAAUUGGGAAAAGGAGUCAGACUGGCGGGACCAAGGGAAAGCAAGAACAGAAAGCAGAUAAGCUAUAAGUCUGCCUUUCUUCAUGGUCCAGGACACAUAGCCCUCUUGUACAAACAACUCACAAUCUUCCUGUGCUCAACUAUCACCACACACCUGCAAGGCAGUUCAUUUCAACUUUGGCAUUAUCAGUACUGCACAAAGCCCUCUUCAGUUUACAGCAUAAACCCUAUUCUGUAAAGUCUCCAGCAAGCCUUUGUUUCUUUGCAGUCAGCUUCUCUCAUGCUGAUUUAGCCAUUGCUUUCUUGCAACCUAUUUUCAUACUUUCUCUAAUAAAUCUGCCUUUCUAGGGUCUUUGCAGAAGUAAUCAAGUUAUGAUGAGGUCAUUCUGGAUUAGGGUGGGGCAUAAUCCAGUGACUGGGAUCUUUACUCGAAGAGAGGGAGGUUUGGACACAGAGACACAGACAUAGUGGGAAGACGGCCCUGUGAAGAUGGAGGCAGAGAUUGCAGUUACUGGCCACAAGCCAAGGAGUGAGACUGCCAUUGCAAAAUUAUAACUGAGAAAAUUAUUACAGUAAAAGAGAUCUGACCUAACUGACUCCAUCUUGCUUCUAACCUCCAAGCUGUCCUUGUUCAUUCCUGGGUGUAAGCUGCAGUAACUUUGGGAGGAACUUAGUUUAUAGUUUAACUUUGAAACAGGAUGAUAACAGCCCUUUCCCAAAGCAAACCCCCUUCCUGCCUAGGGACUAGACUGCUUUUGUAGGACUAACAAAUUAGCCACAAGAUUAGAAAUUAUGGUUUAGGAGUCAUGCGGCUGGAGGCUACAAGAUUCUGACACUCCCCAAAUUGCUACUGGGGAUAACAUCACUAUUCUAUUGUAAACCCUACACUCAAUGGAUCAGCUGUACCACCCAGGUCAGUAAACUGGCUCAUCUGAUCUUGUGGCCCCACCUAGGAACUGACUCAGCACAAGAAGACAGCUUCAACUCACUAUGCUUUCAUCUCUGACCCAACCAAUCAGCACUCCCAACUCACUAAACCCUACCCACCAAAUUAUCCUUAAAAACCCCAAUCCCCAUGUUUUGGGGGAGACUGAUUUAAGGAAUAAUAAAACUCCAGUCUCCUGUACUCCUCUGCAUGAAUUAAACUCUUUCUCUAUUGCAGUUCCCCUGUCUUGAUAAGUUGGUUGUGUCUAGGCAGCAGGCAAGGGGAACCUGUUAGGUGGUUACAGGAACACCAAGGAUCUCUGGCAAUCAUCACAGUUGAAAGAGGCAAGGAAGGGUUCUUCCCAAGAGCUUUUAAAGGAGCAUGACGCUGUCCACAUCUUGAUUUUAGACUUCUGGCUUCCAGAACUGUGAGAAAGUAAUUUCCUAUCACUUUAAGCCACCCAGUUUGUGGUAAUUUGUUAUGACAACCCUAGGAAACUAACACAAAACAUUAAAACAAAAUUAGUGAUUUAUACUAGCAAGUAAAUGAAAUCUAUUAUUUUUCCUAAAUAACAGAUGACAUCUGGGAUAUUCACACCUCAACUUAAAAUUACAAACCUAGGGUAUUCCACUUCUUUAGUUGUUUUACAGUAGCACAGAAUCUUGGAAACCCUCUCAAUUCUUUUUCUUCUUCCUAGUUUGUUUUUUACAGGCCACUACACCUGAAACAGCCAUUGCAAAAUUAUGACAGUAAGAGAAAUCUGGCAUGCUGACUUCAUCUUGUUCCCAGCCUCACUGGUUGGUUGUCUUUGCUCAUUCCUGGGCAUGGGCCAAACUAAUUUUUGGAGAAAUUUAGUUUAUAAUUUAAAUGGUAAUACCCCUUCCCAAAGACUAAACUGUUCUUAUAAAACUAAUGAAAGGCCACCAAGUUAGAGGAUGAGAAGGGUCUGAAUUCUAAAUAACUACCAGCCAUUAUUCUGGAGGUAAUAUGAUUUGCAACUUCCCCAAUUACUCUUGCAGAUAACAUCACUAUUGCACAACCUACAAUAUGGUGAUGUCUUUUCAGGUUUUUGCAUUUCUGACAACCACGUGUCCUCACCUGGACCCGCCAACCCAUCCUGUGGCCUCCACCCAGGAACUGACUCAGCAUGAGAGGACAGCCUCAAUUCCCCAUGAUUUCAUCUCCAACCCAACCAAUCAGCUUGCCCCCUACCCUGGUCCCCUGCCCACCAAACUGUCUUUGAAAAACCCAUAACCUCCAUGCCUUCAGGGAGAUAAUUUGAGUACUAACGCCAUCUCCCAUGGGGCAUGGCCGACCUCGUGUCUAUUAAACUCUUUCUUUACUGCAAUGUUGUGGUCUUUCUGGGUGCAGUGGACAGGAAGGACUCCUUGGGAAGUUACACACCUAUCCCCACAAUGGUGUAACUCUGUGAAGUUGUCCCAUGAAUCGCCCUUGGCUGUUUGGAGACAUCUAGUAGAUUACACCACCAUUCCAUUCCCAGCAGCUAAUAACUGACGGAUGGGGGAAGGAGUAUAAAAGUCAAGUCCCUUGACUCAGUGACCACUCUGCUAUGCAAUUUAUAUUCCAGAGCCCCUGUCUCAUGGGUCAGGCCAAAGCUAGACUUUAUGUGAGACCACAUCUUUGUUUUGUUACUUGUUCUUCCCCAUCCAGAGGAUCAUUUCCUCAAUAAAUCACAUACUCAUUAAGGCACAUCCUUUGUCUUGGGGUAUGCUUUAGAGAGUCUGACUUUGCUUCCCAGGCUGGAGUGCAGUGGUGUGAUCUCAGCUCACAGCAACCUCCACCCCCCAGCCUCAAGCGAUCCUCCCACCUCAGCCUCCCAAGUAACUGGGGACUAUAGACGCAGGACACCAUGUCCAGCCAACAAGUCCGGCCUAAAAAGACUUUCAAAGUAAAUUUCUGGCCAGGCAUAGUGGCUCACGCCUGUAAUCCCAGCACUUUGGGAGGCCGAGG
rnacentral:tRNA from 10 species